UUCGGGAUGCCGGCGAGUGGCGAACGGGUGAGUAAUACGUGGAGACCUGCCCUGAGGUGGGGGAUAACAGCUAGAAAUGGCUGCUAAUACCGCAUACGCCUUACGAGGGAAAGAUUUAUUGCCUCAGGAGGGUUCCGCGUCGGAUUAGCUUGUUGGUGGGGUAACGGCCUACCAAGGCGAUGAUCCGUAGCUGGUCUUAGAGGAUGAUCAGCCACACUGGGACUGAGACACGGCCCAGACUCCUACGGGAGGCAGCAGUGGGGAAUAUUGCGCAAUGGAGGCAACUCUGACGCAGCGAUGCCGCGUGGGUGAAUAAGGCCUUAGGGUUGUAAAGCCCUUUCAGUGGGAAAGAUGAUGACGGUACCCACAGAAGAAGCCCCGGCUAACUCCGUGCCAGCAGCCGCGGUAAUACGGAGGGGGCGAGCGUUGUUCGGAAUUAUUGGGCGUAAAGAGCGCGUAGGCGGUUUAUUAAG
rnacentral:rRNA from 1 species